GCCGACUUCCAUGGCCACCGUCCUGCUGUCUUUAGUUACUAACGCCUUUUGUGGGGUCCGAUAUGCGUUGAUUUUGGCACUAUAACUUUACGACCGGUUCAUCCCGCAUCGCCAGUUCUGCUUACCAAAAAUGGCCCGCUAAAGGCCUUUACUAUCUAUCCAUUUGCUACGUAGCACGCUAGCUAAUGGAAAACACACACAUUAACAGUUUGAGAAUAGGUUGAGAACGUUUCGAACCCAACGACUCUAAUCAUUCGCUUUACCGCAUGUGACUAUCGUUACUAGACCUCAGCUAUCCUUAGGGAAACUUCGAAAGGAACCAGCUACUAGAUGGUUCGAUUGGUCUUUCGCCCCUAUACAUAGUUCUGAUGAUCGAUUUGCACGUCAGAACCAUUGCGGACCUCCACCAGAGUUUCCCCUGGCUUCAUCCUUUCCAUGCAUAGUUCACCAUCUUUCGGGUUCCAGAGCACGAGCUACGAGUACGGCAACGCCAUUGCUGACGCAUAAUUGCCAUCUCCGAUUUGCCUAGACGCCUCUAUAUAUAUAUAUAUAUGCGCGUCUCAUCAUACAAACUUGAGUUGCCGAAACAACUCUCGAUUGCUUUCGUUAAGUUUGACGGAUUCUAUAAAAUGAACCUUUGCGUCACGCUCGUUCGCUGGACUCCUUGGUCC
rnacentral:rRNA from 1 species